rnacentral:rRNA from 1 species
UACGUAGGGGGCAAGCGUUGUCCGGAUUUAUUGGGCGUAAAGAGCGUGUAGGCGGCCAGGUAGGUCUGCUGUGAAAACUCGAGGCUUAACCUCGAGAUGUCAUCGGAAACCAUUUGGCUAGAGUCCGGAAGAGGAGAGUGGAAUUCCUGGUGUAGCGGUGAAAUGCGCAGAUAUCAGGAAGAACACCCGUGGCGAAGGCGGUUCUCUGGGACGGUACUGACGCUGAGACGCGAAAGCGUGGGGAGCGAACA